AUACAAAGGGCAGCGAAACCGYGAGGUCAAGCAAAUCCCAUAAAGUUGUUCUCAGUUCGGAUUGUAGUCUGCAACUCGACUACAUGAAGCUGGAAUCGCUAGUAAUCGUAGAUCAGCAUGCUACGGUGAAUACGUUCCCGGGUCUUGUACACACCGCCCGUCACACCACGAGAGUUUGUAACACCCGAAGCCGGUGGAGUAACCUUUUAGGAGCUAGCCGUCGAAGGUGGGASAAAUGAUUGGGGUGAAGUCGUAACAAGGUAGCCGUAUCGGAAGGUGCGGCUGGAUCACCUCCUUUCUAAGGA
rnacentral:rRNA from 1 species